GCCUCCAUAGCGUGACUGGGCAGCACACAGCUGUUAGGAGGUGUGGAAAGGCCUCCCAGCUGUGGAAACAGAUGAAAAGAAGCCCUCGCACACAAACAAACAGAAAGUGCGGCGGGCUUGGAAAGACAAGGGGUCAAUGGACGGGAAAUGCUUUCAUCGCGCCUGACUCUUUGACUCCAGUCCGCCAUUGUGUUUACGGGCCAAGUUCACGCCUCCUGAUGGGGUUUCCAGAUCUCCAUUGAGCGUUGCUCCAAUUUGAGAGACAUCUUUAUUUGCUUUUUUUUUUUACACUUGAACUGACGCUAACAGAACUUUAAGGGCGGGUGAUAAUAUUGUAAAUAACUUAUUUACCUUCACUAUUUAUUUCUUAUUUGCAAGAUCCAGACACAUUGCAAUAAAAUGAAGCAUCACUAAA
ensembl:lncRNA